rnacentral:lncRNA from 1 species
GGCGACGGCGACGAAGAUGAUCACUCGUGGCGAGCUGCUGUGUUUUACCUCUAAAUUGCUUGAAUGAUUGCUUGAGUAAGUCAACUGAGCCUGGUUGACAGUUAGGAAAGAAGCGUUGGUUCUUCGAUCUUUCUUGAUUUUUAUACAUGUCUAUGAUGGUUCAUGUGCCCACUGUUGGGGCAAAGCUUGAUUUUUUAUGUAUGAUGACAGUUUGUACUUCCCCCUUUGUAUGAUUGAUGGGUUUACUUUACAUGUCUAUGGGUUUACAUUUCCUCUUGAGAACUGCCAGUUUAUAUAUAUGUCAUACUUACUGAAAGCAUUC